rnacentral:tRNA from 1 species
GGGGAGAUGGCUCAGUGGUUAAGAGCACUGGCUGCCAUUUCAGAGCCAUUCCAGAGGACCUGGGUUCCAUCCCCAGCACCCUCA